rnacentral:rRNA from 1 species
GAUGAACGCUAGCGGCAGGCUUAACACAUGCAAGUCGAGGGGCAUCGGGAGGGAAGCUUGCUUUCCUUGCCGGCGACCGGCGCACGGGUGAGUAACACGUAUGCAACCUGCCCUCUUCAGGGGGACAACCUUCCGAAAGGGAGGCUAAUCCCGCGUAUAUCGGUUUCGGGCAUCCGUUAUCGAGGAAAGAUUCAUCGGAAGAGGAUGGGCAUGCGGCGCAUUAGCUAGACGGCGGGGUAACGGCCCACCGUGGCGACGAUGCGUAGGGGUUCUGAGAGGAAGGUCCCCCACACUGGUACUGAGACACGGACCAG